rnacentral:sRNA from 1 species
CCGAGUCCAGGAGGGGAGUACCCCACCUUCACGGCAUUGAUCGUCAACACGGCAGCUUUAAUUAGCUCCCGGUCAUGUCGGUCCAGCUUCUAGCUGGGCGGGGGAGACCUCCGGUCAUGUU